rnacentral:rRNA from 1 species
CCUACGGGCGGCAGCAGUGGGGAAUAUUGGACAAUGGGGGCAACCCUGAUCCAGCCAUGCCGCGUGUGUGAAGAAGGCCCUCGGGUUGUAAAGCACUUUCAGUGAGGAAGAACGCCUGGUGGUUAAUACCCAUCAGGAAAGACAUCACUCACAGAAGAAGCACCGGCUAACUCCGUGCCAGCAGCCGCGGUAAUACGGAGGGUGCGAGCGUUAAUCGGAAUUACUGGGCGUAAAGCGCGCGUAGGUGGCUUGAUAAGCCGGUUGUGAAAGCCCCGGGCUCAACCUGGGAACGGCAUCCGGAACUGUCAAGCUAGAGUGCAGGAGAGGAAGGUAGAAUUCCCGGUGCAGCGGUGAAAUGCGUAGAGAUCGGGAGGAAUACCAGUGGCGAAGGCGGCCUUCUGGACUGACACUGACACUGAGGUGCGAAAGCGUGGGUAGCAAACAGGAUUAGAUACCCGUGUAGUC